rnacentral:lncRNA from 1 species
AAAAUACAUUUAUUAAACUCUUUUACUUUCUUCCACAAUAUAUAUUAUUUUGAUAAUAUUAGUUUUCUUUUUUAAUGUCUAUAAAUAAAAAUUAGAAAAAACUUCAAAUACCGCCGACGUGCUUUCGCACUUUCUUAUUUUAGUAUACUUUAAUUUAAAGUGUAUUAUUUCCGUACUCUAUAGUUUAUUUUUUUUUCUUUUUGUUAUUCUCUCUAUUAAUUUUUUUCGUUAAAUCAGUGGCAAAAUUAAAACUAAAGAGUACUAAAGUGAAUAUUCGAUAAACUAUCGACGGGAUAUCUGAAAUUUUUUGCAUAUGAUUUAAUAAAAAAUUAAUGAAAGUGCCGAUAAAAAGUGAGAAAUGAAAUCAUAUGGUACUAAAUUGAUACAUUUUAAACUACAGAAUGCUAAAGUGAGAAAAUGUGAGAUCAUAUUUGUGGUAUUUAAAGUUUAGUCACAGAAAUAAAUGGUGUAACUAUGAUUAUAUUUUUUAUGUAUAAAAU